rnacentral:siRNA from 1 species
UUAGGUGGAGGUGUUGGAUUC